GUCUAUGGCCAUACAACCCUGAACGGGCCCGAUCUCGUCUGAUCUCGGAAGCUAAGCAGGGUCGGGCCUAGUUAGUACUUGGAUGAGAGACCGCCUGGGAAUACCGGGUGCUGUAGGCU
ensembl:rRNA 5S_rRNA 5S ribosomal RNA